rnacentral:rRNA from 1 species
GGGGAAUAUUGCGCAAUGGUCGAAAGACUGACGCAGCGACGCCGCGUGGAGGAUGACGCCCUUCGGGGUGUAAACUCCUGUUGCUCGGGACGAACCGUGGAAUUCAUUCCACCUGACGGUACCGAGUGAGGAAGCACCGGCUAACUCUGUGCCAGCAGCCGCGGUAAUACAGAGGGUGCGAGCGUUGCCCGGAAUCACUGGGCGUAAAGGGCGCGUAGGCGGCUUGGCAAGCGUGCGGUGAGAGCUCAGGGCUCAACCCCGAGUCUGCCGUGCGAACUGCCGAGCUUGAGCACAGUAGAGGCAGAUGGAAUUCCGGGUGUAGCGGUGGAAUGCGUAGAGAUCCGGAAGAACACCGGUGGCGAAGGCGGUCUGCUGGGCUGUGUCUGACGCUGAGGCGCGACAGCGUGGGGAGCAAAC